rnacentral:rRNA from 1 species
AUUGAACGCUGGCGGCAGGCCUAACACAUGCAAGUCGAGCGGCAGCGGGAGCGGCAGACGGGUGAGUAACGCGUGGGAAUGUACCCUUUGCUACGGAAUAGCUCCGGGAAACUGGAAUUAAUACCGAAUGUGCCCUUCGGGGGAAAGAUUUAUCGGCAAAGGAUCAGCCUGCGUUGGAUUAGAUAGUUGGUGGGGUAAAGGCCUACCAAGGCGACGAUCCAUAGCUGGUCUGAGAGGAUGAUCAGCCACAUUGGGACUGAGACACGGCCCAAACUCCUACGGGAGGCAGCAGUGGGGAAUAUUGGACAAUGGGCGCAAGCCUGAUCCAGCCAUGCCGCGUGAAUGAUGAAGGCCUUAGGGUUGUAAAGCUCUUUCACCGGUGAAGAUAAUGACGGUAACCGGAGAAGAAGCCCCGGCUAACUUCGUGCCAGCCGCCGCAGUAAAAC